rnacentral:rRNA from 1 species
AGCGUACACGGUGGAUGCCCUGGCAGUCAGAGGCGAUGAAGGACGUGCUAAUCUGCGAUAAGCGUCGGUAAGGUGAUAUGAACCGUUAUAACCGGCGAUUUCCGAAUGGGGAAACCCAGUGUGAUUCGUCACACUAUCAUUAACUGAAUCCAUAGGUUAAUGAGGCGAACCGGGGGAACUGAAACAUCUAAGUACCCCGAGGAAAAGAAAUCAACCGAGAUUCCCCCAGUAGCGGCGAGCGAACGGGGAGCAGCCCAGAGCCUGAAUCAGUGUGUGUGUUAGUGGAAGCGUCUGGAAAGGCGCGCGAUACAGGGUGACAGCCCCGUACACAAAAAUGCACAUGCUGUGAGCUCGAUGAGUAGGGCGGGACACGUGGUAUCCUGUCUGAAUAUGGGGGGACCAUCCUCCAAGGCUAAAUACUCCUGACUGACCGAUAGUGAACCAGUACCGUGAGGGAAAGGCGAAAAGAACCCCGGCGAGGGGAGUGAAAAAGAACCUGAAACCGUGUACGUACAAGCAGUGGGAGCACGCUUAGGCGUGUGACUGCGUACCUUUUGUAUAAUGGGUCAGCGACUUAUAUUCUGUAGCAAGGUUAACCGAAUAGGGGAGCCGAAGGGAAACCGAGUCUUAACUGGGCGUUAAGUUGCAGGGUAUAGACCCGAAACCCGGUGAUCUAGCCAUGGGCAGGUUGAAGGUUGGGUAACACUAACUGGAGGACCGAACCGACUAAUGUUGAAAAAUUAGCGGAUGACUUGUGGCUGGGGGUGAAAGGCCAAUCAAACCGGGAGAUAGCUGGUUCUCCCCGAAAGCUAUUUAGGUAGCGCCUCGUGAAUUCAUCUCCGGGGGUAGAGCACUGUUUCGGCAAGGGGGUCAUCCCGACUUACCAACCCGAUGCAAACUGCGAAUACCGGAGAAUGUUAUCACGGGAGACACACGGCGGGUGCUAACGUCCGUCGUGAAGAGGGAAACAACCCAGACCGCCAGCUAAGGUCCCAAAGUCAUGGUUAAGUGGGAAACGAUGUGGGAAGGCCCAGACAGCCAGGAUGUUGGCUUAGAAGCAGCCAUCAUUUAAAGAAAGCGUAAUAGCUCACUGGUCGAGUCGGCCUGCGCGGAAGAUGUAACGGGGCUAAACCAUGCACCGAAGCUGCGGCAGCGACGCUGAUGCGUUGUUGGGUAGGGGAGCGUUCUGUAAGCCUGCGAAGGUGUGCUGUGAGGCAUGCUGGAGGUAUCAGAAGUGCGAAUGCUGACAUAAGUAACGAUAAAGCGGGUGAAAAGCCCGCUCGCCGGAAGACCAAGGGUUCCUGUCCAACGUUAAUCGGGGCAGGGUGAGUCGACCCCUAAGGCGAGGCCGAAAGGCGUAGUCGAUGGGAAACAGGUUAAUAUUCCUGUACUUGGUGUUACUGCGAAGGGGGGACGGAGAAGGCUAUGUUGGCCGGGCGACGGUUGUCCCGGUUUAAGCGUGUAGGCUGGUUUUCCAGGCAAAUCCGGAAAAUCAAGGCUGAGGCGUGAUGACGAGGCACUACGGUGCUGAAGCAACAAAUGCCCUGCUUCCAGGAAAAGCCUCUAAGCAUCAGGUAACAUCAAAUCGUACCCCAAACCGACACAGGUGGUCAGGUAGAGAAUACCAAGGCGCUUGAGAGAACUCGGGUGAAGGAACUAGGCAAAAUGGUGCCGUAACUUCGGGAGAAGGCACGCUGAUAUGUAGGUGAAGUCCCUCGCGGAUGGAGCUGAAAUCAGUCGAAGAUACCAGCUGGCUGCAACUGUUUAUUAAAAACACAGCACUGUGCAAACACGAAAGUGGACGUAUACGGUGUGACGCCUGCCCGGUGCCGGAAGGUUAAUUGAUGGGGUCAGCGCAAGCGAAGCUCUUGAUCGAAGCCCCGGUAAACGGCGGCCGUAACUAUAACGGUCCUAAGGUAGCGAAAUUCCUUGUCGGGUAAGUUCCGACCUGCACGAAUGGCGUAAUGAUGGCCAGGCUGUCUCCACCCGAGACUCAGUGAAAUUGAACUCGCUGUGAAGAUGCAGUGUACCCGCGGCAAGACGGAAAGACCCCGUGAACCUUUACUAUAGCUUGACACUGAACAUUGAGCCUUGAUGUGUAGGAUAGGUGGGAGGCUUUGAAGUGUGGACGCCAGUCUGCAUGGAGCCGGCCUUGAAAUACCACCCUUUAAUGUUUGAUGUUCUAACGUUGACCCGUAAUCCGGGUUGCGGACAGUGUCUGGUGGGUAGUUUGACUGGGGCGGUCUCCUCCUAAAGAGUAACGGAGGAGCACGAAGGUUGGCUAAUCCUGGUCGGACAUCAGGAGGUUAGUGCAAUGGCAUAAGCCAGCUUGACUGCGAGCGUGACGGCGCGAGCAGGUGCGAAAGCAGGUCAUAGUGAUCCGGUGGUUCUGAAUGGAAGGGCCAUCGCUCAACGGAUAAAAGGUACUCCGGGGAUAACAGGCUGAUACCGCCCAAGAGUUCAUAUCGACGGCGGUGUUUGGCACCUCGAUGUCGGCUCAUCACAUCCUGGGGCUGAAGUAGGUCCCAAGGGUAUGGCUGUUCGCCAUUUAAAGUGGUACGCGAGCUGGGUUUAGAACGUCGUGAGACAGUUCGGUCCCUAUCUGCCGUGGGCGCUGGAGAACUGAGGGGGGCUGCUCCUAGUACGAGAGGACCGGAGUGGACGCAUCACUGGUGUUCGGGUUGUCAUGCCAAUGGCACUGCCCGGUAGCUAAAUGCGGAAGAGAUAAGUGCUGAAAGCAUCUAAGCACGAAACUUGCCCCGAGAUGAGUUCUCCCUGACUCCUUGA